rnacentral:lncRNA from 1 species
UUCCGUACUAUUGUUUAAAAGUUUUAAAUUUAUUUUGAAAUUAUCAAUAUCCUUCUAAAAUCCAAUCACAUUAGUAAACUUUACAAAAAAUAAAAUAUUUAAAGAACUUUUUUAAAUCAACAAUAAUAUUAUGAUUCCCCAUAAAUAAAUAAAUAUUUUUAAAAUUUUGAAGAGUAUAUUAGAUAUUAUCCUAAUAAAAAAAUUAUUUGUAUCUUAUUGGACAAGCACUUAUAAACUUAUGAAUUGGGAACCUGAGCUUUCCUGGCUCGACAC